rnacentral:lncRNA from 1 species
UUUUGGCGCUUCAAAGGAAGGGAGCUGCAGCUGUGGCAGCGCUGGAAGGGUGGAAACUGGGCUGUGCUGCUGCAUUUGGGGGCACUUCUGCUGCCCCUGGUGCCGGGAGCGCGGCUUCUCAUUUUCCAGCGUUCCUUGCUGUGGGGCUUUUGAGGAAUUUCUUGGAUCAUUUUCUUUUGUUCGUACUUGGUGUAUGAGGAGGGCCAUGGGGUACUUCUUGGUUGUUACAGUUCUUGCUCCAGGUGCUGAUGACAAGGGUUUUUUUGGAUUGAGCGUUGUUGUAGGAUUUCUUUUUGAUUGGUUCUUAUGUUUUUAAAGGAUGUGCUUUUAAAAGUUUACAGUGGUUUCUAUGGGUUGUAGCAUGAAGUAGAGGGUAGGUUUUUAAUUUGGUUGUGGAGGCUUUUAUUAGCGGGAGUAUGUAGUGUUUGUUUAGGUUAGUUUGAAGUAGUCCUGUAGUUAAUUAGUGAGGUUUUUUAAUAUUGAUAAUUGCAUUUUUGCUUAUUAUAUUAUAGGGGUUUGAUUUAUUUGCCUCAUUUGAUUGCCAUGUAUUGUUUUAUUUUUGCAGAGAGUUUGGUAGAUAUUGUUUAUGGUUACAUUUAUCUUUUGGCCACGUGUUUAUUUCUAGGUGGUAUUUGUGUUUUGGUGAUUUGAGGCAUUAUGGGUUUCUUGAGUUUAGAAUAAUUAUUUUGUUGUUGUUAGUAUAAGCUUUUUGGUUGUUUUUUUUUUUUUUUCUAGUUUCAUGUAUUUGGUUGUCAUUUUUUAUUAAUUUUAUUUUUGGGAACAUGGGUAUUUCUCUGGUGGAUUUUUUAAGGGACACAUCCUUUGCCAAUUGGAUUUUUUGCAGGUGGCCGCCCCCUCAGGACCACAGGCCCCUGAGCACAAACACUGUCCCUUUUCCCUGGGAAAGAAAACUCGCCAGCCCAGCAGCACAACACAGCAAGCCUAACAGCGAGACCACACUGGAACCCUCCCGCUGGGACAGGGCAGCGACCCUCGCACCAGGAACACGCCAGAACCCUCAGAGGACAACAGGACCUGCUGCAUAAAGGUAGGGAUGACAUCUGUGGGCUAGAGAGCAACAGGAAGGGGUUUGGAGGCUGAGCAGGCUUCCUUGAGUUUUUUGCAGGACUAUUAGGAAUAUUUAGAGGAUUUUUCAGCUUUCUGGAGGAGAUACAGGGCACAGAAAAAAAUCAAGUCCCAAGCUUUGUACUGUCAGUUUGCAAGGGGCAUUUGGCACCAAAAAAACCCCAGAGUAACUGGGAGGCAGAUAUGGUCUGGGAGAAAUCCUGCGCUGUUUGGACAAUGAGGAGGCAAAAGGCCACUCAGAGCCUGAUACCCCGCGGGGGUGGGGGGUGGGGUGUGCAGGGCCUUGGUUGUGAAUGAGGGAUAUCUACCUUGAGAAAGUAAAGCCAGCAGCCCAGGUUGCUGGUGUCAGUUUGUAGGGUUCACUUGGGACUGUCAGGGCAGCACAAGUUUGAGGUGGGAGCAGACUGGGUCUGGGACACAUCCUUUGAUGUUCGGAUUUUUGCAGUCAGCUGCUUGCUUAGGGCCACGGAGCCAUGAGCACAAACACCAGCCCUUAUUUUUGCAAAGAAAACUCGC